UAGUUCGAGACAAGAAUUAAAACUACAACCCUCUUGACUUGUAGAGGGUUAUAACCAUAAGAGAAAGAAGUUGCUCAAUUAUCUUGACGACAACAAAAUCUCAACUGCUUUAUGUUUUAGCUAGUUUCUCAUAGUUCAUUUAGUUUCUUUUAAUAGUCUAAAAUGAUGUUUAUAGCAUGCCCCAUCGCAAAAUUAUCAAUUUUAUUCAACAAAAUAAAUCAUCAUUUGACCCCCUAUGUGGUAGUUGAUUGAAGACCCUUGAUGGUUUUUAUUGUACUUGGCAAAAUAAUUACAUUAGUUUUCAACAUUGAUUUAACUAUAGAGAUAUUUUUAGGGCUGCAAAUUGUGGUAUUGAUUCCAGUGGAUGCAUACAUGGAGCUGUCUUCAUGAUGCUAUUGGAGCUUUUAGUUGUGACAGGUUAUCUGGGAACCAAUUCUUGUUCAAAUUGACACUUGAUGUAAAAUUCAUUUCUGAUCUGGACCAAGCCUUGAUUGGAACUUCCUUUCUUUUGCUGCAUGCUUUCGAGAACAUGUUCAAAUGCCAAUGUGGGAGAUUGGUUUCACCAUUUCCACCUCUUCCUUCCCAGCCAAUGAGAAAAUACUCGUUUGAGUUGGUGAUGAACUCUUACCUCGUGAAAAAGCCUUGUGUGGGGAUGCAGUGUGGAAAGGUCUCCAUGUGUACAAUGGAAAAAAGUCUUUAAGCUUAAUGACAGAAUUUUCUUCUGGUCAAUGCAGUACUUGCUAAAUGGAAACCGCAGGUUAUGACUAAUACAGGAGGAUUAAGAUUGGCUACAAAAACUACUUGUCAUAACUCACCCAAUGAAGCUUAGAAUAUGAUAGAUGGUCAAGUUCAUAAUCAGACAUGGAAAUUGGAGUCAGCUGCUACGAUUGAGCCUCCUUCUCAUGCUAGAAGGAAAGAAAAGUGGUUUCAUCUUGAUGAUGCGCUUGUCCCUCGGCGAACGGCUAGAGGCCAGUCUUUGCGCUGGACAAGGAGGCCAAGGCACCGGUCAAAGUUAUGAAUGUAUGAUCCAUUGUCAUAUUUGAUGGCUUGCUCAUACAGUUCAGCGGGGGAGAGGGUUGUAGAGGAUGUGGGUGAACUUGAGGGCGUUGUCGCUGACUCUGAUGGUCGGUGUCAAGAAGUGGUGGUGCUCGGUCGCAACCUUGGCCGCCUCCGCUUUCCUGGCCGGGUCGACACUCACCACCUUCGACCCUAUCUUCCUCAUCAGCGACGCCGACGAAUAACUGAUGGAUUGGAGCUGGAGCUUCUGACACUCUUCCUCGGAGAUGGUGGCGAAUAUAAAGUGGGCUAAUUAAUGGAUUAGUUGAAAUGCGAGAGAAUAAGUUGCUUUGGGGUUAGGCGAGUUCAUUGCUCUCACAAAUGAGGAGACACUGAAGGAGUUCGUUAAGAAAAAAAUAUUUCAAAGUGGGUUUGUAAAACAAGAUUCAUGGCUUUAAAUAUUCUUGAGAAUAAAUUUCAAACUA